CUAGGGGAUCCUUAUCCGUUUCUGGUGGGGAUGAAAAGCAUUUGUUUCUAAGUGCCUGUUCUUGACCACCUCUGUGCAGGUUUUAGACUACCUUGUUACAGCCUUUAAGAAUGAAAGUCCAGGCUCUUCAAUCACACUUUGCUGAUAUGGAUGAGGUUACCGGCUUCUUCAGUUCUAAGCCUGAGAUAUAUGAGUCAAAAAGAAAACUCAGAAAACUCUCUACCAUGUUGUUCUUCAGGUGUCAGAUUUCCUAUUUGCUGCUGUGAGAUGGAUCAGUAUUCACCUUGCCACAUCUCCACAAAUUGGUGUCCCUCUGUGCUCUAAACCUUGGCAUUUUGUGUUAUAACAUGUACUCAAAAUCUACCGUAAGUAUCGAUGAAGACCUGUAAACCCAACAUGUAAUGUAUUUCUGGAAUGUAAAA